rnacentral:rRNA from 1 species
UAGGGAAUCUUCCGCAAUGGACGAAAGUCUGACGGAGCAACGCCGCGUGAGUGAGGAAGGUUUUCGGAUCGUAAAACUCUGUUGCCAGGGAAGAACGCCAGGGAGAGGAAAUGCUCCUUGGGUGACGGUACCUGAGAAGAAAGCCCCGGCUAACUACGUGCCAGCAGCCGCGGUAAUACGUAGGGGGCAAGCGUUGUCCGGAAUUAUUGGGCGUAAAGCGCGCGCAGGCGGCUAUUUAAGUCUGGUGUUUAAGCCCGGGGCUCAACCCCGGUACGCACUGGAAACUGGGUGGCUGGAGUGCAGGAGAGGGGAGUGGAAUUCCACGUGUAGCGGUGAAAUGCGUAGAGAUGUGGAGGAACACCAGUGGCGAAGGCGACUCUCUGGCCUGUAACUGACGCUGAGGCGCGAAAGCGUGGGGAGCAAACA